rnacentral:rRNA from 1 species
UACGUAGGGGGCUAGCGUUGUCCGGAAUCAUUGGGCGUAAAGAGCGUGUAGGCGGCCCGGUAAGUCCGCUGUAAAAGUCAAAGGCUCAACCUUUGAAUGUCAGUGGAUACUGCCGGGCUAGAGUCCGGAAGAGGAGUGUGGAAUUCCUGGUGUAGCGGUGAAAUGCGCAGAUAUCAGGAAGAACACCAAUGGCGAAGGCAGCUCUCUGGGACGGUACUGACACUGAGACGCGAAAAGCGUGGGGGAGCGAAACAGG